rnacentral:rRNA from 1 species
UACGGAGGGGGCUAGCGUUGUUCGGAAUUACUGGGCGUAAAGCGCGCGUAGGCGGAUUGGAAAGUUGGGGGUGAAAUCCCGGGGCUCAACCUCGGAACUGCCUUCAAAACUACCAGUCUAGAGUUCGAGAGAGGUGAGUGGAAUUCCGAGUGUAGAGGUGAAAUUCGUAGAUAUUCGGAGGAACACCAGUGGCGAAGGCGGCUCACUGGCUCGAUACUGACGCUGAGACGCGAAAGCGUGGGUAGCAAACAGG